UGAUGGGAUUAACAUUAAAGGAUAAACAGCUCAACAAAGCGAAGCCCUUAAUGCUCUUCAGUCAGCUCUAACAUAAAUCCUAUAGGCUUUAAUUUAAGGUUGACAUAGAGUAAAUGCCAGUUAUUGCACAAUUAAGGAAAACUGAGACAUUAAACUUUGAGAAUGAAAGGACUGAGAUUAUUUGAAGCAGUGUGUACAAUGAAUGGAAUGAUUCAGGUUCAUGCACGCUUCUCUGUAAAAGGCUAAAUAGCUACCUGAAAUGUAAUCUCCUUCAGCAGAAGCCCGACAGGCAUAACAGCCGACUCCCGCUAGCUUCAGGACUGUUGAAAAGGCCAACUGAACAUUAAAUGUCACAAUAUUUGA